rnacentral:rRNA from 1 species
AUUGAACGCUGGCGGCAGGCCUAACACAUGCAAGUCGAGCGAGCGGCGGACGGGUGAGUAAUGUAUGGGGACUGCCCGAUAGAGGGGGAUAACUACUGGAAACGGUGGCUAAUACCGCAUACUGUCGGAUAACCCAUAUGGGAUUAGCUAGUAGGUAAGGUAAUGGCUUACCUCGGCGACGAUCCCUAGCGGGUCUGAGAGGAUGAUCAGCCAGACUGAGACGUGGACACGGCCCAGACUCCUACGGAGGCAGCAGUGGGGAAUAGUGCACAAUGGGCGCGAGCCUGAUGCAGCCAUGCCGCGUGGGGGAUGAAGGCUUUCGGGUUGUAAACCUCUGUCGCAAGCGAACGGGUAGGUGGAGAAGAAGCGCCGGCUAACUACGUGCCAGCAGCCGCGGUAAUAC